AACAAGGCGUACCUGCGGACCUGCGGAAGGAUCAUUACCGAGUUUACAACUCCCAAACCCCUGUGAACAUACCUAUACGUUGCCUCGGCGGAUCAGCCCGCGCCCCGUAAAACGGGACGGCCCGCCCGAGGACCCUAAACUCUGUUUUUAGUGGAACUUCUGAGUAAAACAAACAAAUAAAUCAAAACUUUUAACAACGGAUCU
rnacentral:misc_RNA from 1 species